AUUGAACGCUGGCGGCAUGCCUUACACAUGCAAGUCGAACGGCAGCACGGGUGCUUGCACCUGGUGGCGAGUGGCGAACGGGUGAGUAAUACAUCGGAACAUGUCCUGUAGUGGGGGAUAGCCCGGCGAAAGCCGGAUUAAUACCGCAUACGAUCUACGGAUGAAAGCGGGGGACCUUCGGGCCUCGCGCUAUAGGGUUGGCCGAUGGCUGAUUAGCUAGUUGGUGGGGUAAAGGCCUACCAAGGCGACGUUCAGUAGCUGGUCUGAGAGGACGACCAGCCACACUGGGACUGAGGCACGGCCCAGACUCCUACGGGAGGCAGCAGUGGGGAAUUUUGGACAAUGGGCGAAAGCCUGAUCCAGCAAUGCCGCGUGUGUGAAGAAGGCCUUCGGGUUGUAAAGCACUUUUGUCCGGAAAGAAAUCCUUGGCCCUAAUACGGUCGGGGGAUGACGGUACCGGAAGAAUAAGCACCGGCUAACUACGUG
rnacentral:rRNA from 1 species